AUUGAACGCUGGCGGCAGGCCUAACACAUGCAAGUCGAGCGGAUGAAGGGAGCUUGCUCCUGGAUUCAGCGGCGGACGGGUGAGUAAUGCCUAGGAAUCUGCCUGGUAGUGGGGGAUAACGUCCGGAAACGGGCGCUAAUACCGCAUACGUCCUGAGGGAGAAAGUGGGGGAUCUUCGGACCUCACGCUAUCAGAUGAGCCUAGGUCGGAUUAGCUAGUUGGUGGGGUAAAGGCCUACCAAGGCGACGAUCCGUAACUGGUCUGAGAGGAUGAUCAGUCACACUGGAGCUGAGACACGGUCCAGACUCCUACGGGAGGCAGCAGUGGGGAAUAUUGGACAAAGGGCGAAAGCCUGAUCCAGCCAUGCCGCGUGUGUGAAGAAGGUCUUCGGGUUGUAAAGCACUUUAAGUUGGGAGGAAGGGCAGUAAGUUAAUACCUUGCUGUUUUGACGUUACCAACAGAAUAAGCACCGGCUAACUUCGUG
rnacentral:rRNA from 1 species